rnacentral:tRNA from 1 species
GUUUUUAUAGUGUAAACUGCACAUAGUCCUUUCAAGACUAAACUAACCGGCAGUUUAAAAACA